AGUGAACGCUGGCGGUAGGCCUAACACAUACAAGACGAACGGCAGCACAGGAGAGCUUGCUCUCUGGGUGGCGAGUGGCGGACGGGUGAGGAAUACAUCGGAAUCUACCUUUUCGUGGGGGAUAACGUAGGGAAACUUACGAUAAUACCGCAUACGACCUACGGGUGAAAGGGGGGGACCGCAAGGCCUCACGCGAUUAGAUGAGCCGAUGUCCGAUUAGCUAGUUGGCGGGGUAAUGGCCCACCAAGGCGACGAUCGGUGGCUGGUCUGAGAGGAGGAUCAGCCACACUGGAACUGAGACACGGUCCAGACUCCUACGGGAGGCAGCAGUGGGGAAUAUUGGACAAUGGGCGCAAGCCUGAUCCAGCCAUACCGCGUGGGUGAAGAAGGCCUUCGGGUUGUAAAGCCCUUUUGUUGGGAAAGAAAUCCUGUCGAUUAAUACUCGGUGGGGAUGACGGUACCCAAAGAAUAAGCACCGGCUAACUUCGUGCCAGCCGCCGCAGUAAAAC
rnacentral:rRNA from 1 species